CUCACAGUCUUUCUCCCCGCCCGAAGACGUCUCGCAGCGUCGGAAUCGGUCACACUGAAUUGAUAAGAUAGUCCACGUUGAGCAAAAUGACGAUAAGGUCUGUAAUGUGUGGAAGAGCAUGUAACUUCGAUCAAACUGGAUCUAAAAAGAGACUUAAACUUCGAAAUAUUCCAAGUUAUAUAAUGGUUGCGCUAAACAAGCACGUGUUGCACGCAUGCUAAGUGCCUCGAGGUCAAGAAUGGCUGUGGCCACAUGAAAAUGGAAUUGAAGAUGGAUCAUGAUGUCUGUAGGCCACUGAGCUGUAAGCCAUGUAAAGAGAGAAUGGAAGAUGGGUCAUGAUUGUGAGCUGUAAGAAGCCAUGUAGAGAUGGAAUGGAAGAUGGGUCAUGAUGCCUGUGAGCUGUAAGAAGCCAUGUAAAGAUGGAAUGGAAGAUGGGUCAUGAUGCCUGUGAGCUGUAAGCCAUGUGAAGAUGGAAUGGAAGAUGGCUCAUGAUGCCUGUGAGCUGUAAGAAGGCAGUCCUCAUCCACAUGAAUAAAGCAGUCGAUGGUGGUACUGUGCCGGAUAAUGGGCCAUGUAAAGAGAGAAUGGAAGAUGGGUCAUGAUGCCUGUGAGCUGUAAGAAGGCAGUCCUCAACCACAUGAAGAAGCGGUCUCUGGUGGUACUGUGCCGGAUAAUGGAGCGAUCCUCAUCCACAUGAAGCGGUCUCUGGUGGCACUGACAAAAUGAGCAAUCCUCCACAUGAGCGUCUCAAGGUACAGUGCCAAAGUGCUGGACAUGGGAAGCAUCAUAAAGUAGGCCCCAAGAUGUGAACCAAUCUCCUAGCAGUGACUCUAUCGGACUCCAAUACCAGCCCCCCUGAUCUGAGUUUUUUUUAAAAGUGCUAUUUUUGGGCUCUCCCUCCUGAACUGAACAAUUUGUUUCCCAAAACGAUGAUGGAUUGUGUUCUUGGUCUUAAUUCAUGUAAAUUCAUUGAUUAUUAAUGUUUCAAAGUCGCUACUUCUACAUGGCUCAAAUGCACUAGGUUUAAAUGACUUUGUGCAAUGGUCUGUCACCAAUUACUUAAAUAAAAUGUUUUAAAGUCUCUGGCAUUUCAAUUGUCAAUAUAUCAAUUGUGUUGUCAUCUACAGUAGAAUAAAUAUCCCAUAAGGGCCUUAGCCUCCACCUUGGCAAAAUACAACUAGUUUUCUACAAUGAAAUACUUGGCAGCAAAAGUGUUUUAUUUGGAUGCUUGUAUUAGGGAGUCAAAAUCCCUUCAAAUCAACUUAGGGAGUUGUCCGAUUUGCUCAGUAAGAUCUGACAUGGCCACCAGAAGUAGGCCUAUGCAGUGAAACACAUCUGCUAAGCACCACCACCAUGUUUCAAAUCCUAGCUGAAUUAAGGUGAAAGUCAAGAUAUAAAAAAUAUAAAAUGGUUAUGUAUCGCUAAUGAGAUUGUUGGACAAGAAUAUCCAUAGCAAGUUAAUCACACUGUGUACAGCGCACUGUGCUAAUUUCCCAUUGCAGAAGCAAUUCUUAAACUCAUGGCUGUGGCCCAUCUUACGAAAUCCUAACUAUAACUUGCAAUUUGGCUUAGGAUCCAAAGGUGGGCAGGGCAGCUUUUUGUCUCUCCUGCAGCCUCACAAUGCAAUCUGGUGUCCUAGUUCUAGAAUUGCAUAAAGUUUGAUGUCAUCACAAACACUUUAGCUAACAAAGAUGUUCUAGAUUUCCACACAUUCAGUGAUGGAAUGUAAUUCUACUACAGUAUUUGGGCUGAUUUCAGUACUUGCAGUGUUGUCCUAAAAUGGAUACCUCAAAACGUCUAAAGUCCUCUGCAGGAACUUCUAGAGGGUCCGUCUCUGAGGAUUGUAGAAUUGAUGACCGACUGUUGGACAAUCUGAGAGGCUCUCCCAGUUCUGGCACCAAACCUAAGCAGAGUAUUUGGAAUAGGGAGGAAGUUCCUCGAAAGGUUGCAGUUGUUCAUCCCAGAUGUAUAUCAGAGAGUGAUGUAAGUCCACUUGUCAGACAAGCUCAACAGCAGGCAAUGGUUGAACAAGGCGAGGCGAGAACCAUUCGGCUCGAAGAGGGCACCACAGUGAGGAAUGUCUUCAGGUCCAGCGGCAGUCUGACAGACAGAGAAAACCUAAGGGUGACCAUUGUGCCUCAGCAACCCCGCAUUCCAAGUGAAGUCAUGGGUCCAGAGAGCGUCUUUCAUUAUUUGAGUGACUCUGAUUCUGAUUCUGAAUCUGAAUCUGAAUCAGAGUCAGAUUCAGAUUCAGAUUCAAACUUACUCUUUUUGUGGGGGAUGUUACAGUUGGCUGCAGAUAUGGACUCUGACUCAAGUUCAAGAUCAAGCUCAAGUUCUAGCUCAACUUCCAGUUCAUCCAGCUCUUCCUCUAGCUCAGAUUCAGAGACCUAGUUCUAUUUCCAAAUCACUUUUUCUAAGCAAUUGAUUAAAUCGUCCUUUAAAACUGAUCAACUAAAAUACAUUUUCUCUCAAUAAAUGAUUUUUGCCAUAUCGCA